rnacentral:rRNA from 1 species
UUAAGCCAUGCAUGUCUGAGUUCGCACCCCACAAGCACGGGCAAACCGCGAAUGGCUCAUUAGAUCAGUCAGGGUUCCUUAGGCGAUACGGCCCCUCGCGGGCGAGACGGAUAACUGUGGCAAAUCCAGAGCUAAUACGUGCGAGCGAGCCCCGACCCUCCCCGCAAGGGGACGGGGAAGGGCGCUUUUAUUAGUACAAGACCGGCGUCCGUGGGUUUUACGACCCCGGGCCCACCGCCAGGCGAACUCUGGAUAACUCGCCCGACCGCUACGUUCUUCGGGACGGCGGCGCGCCUUUCAAGCGUCUGCCCUAUCAAAUGUCGACGGUAGGUCAAACGCCAACCGUGUUGACGACGGGUGACGGGGAAUCGGGGUUCGGUUCCGGAGAGGGAGCACGAGAAACGGCUACCACAUCCAAGGAAGGCAGCAGGCGCGCAACUUACCCACUCCCGGCUCGGGGAGGUAGUGACGAGAAAUAACGAUGCGGGUCUCGAGUCGGGCCCCGCGGUCGGAAUGAGCGCAGUCCAAACCCCUGACGGCGACGACCCAUCGGAGGGCAAGCCUGGUGCCAGCAGCCGCGGUAAUUCCAGCUCCGAUAGCGUAUAUUAAAGCUGCUGCAGUUAAAAAGCUCGUAGUUGGAUCUCGAGGCGGGGCGACGUCGGCGAGCGCUCGACUCGGAAGCAUUGCUCGUCCUUGUGGCGGCGGUGUUUUUGGUCGCGGCGUUUUCGGCAUCGCACCGCCCCCAAUCGCGCCGGCUCUCUCCCGCGUGCCGCUCUUCACUGGGCGGCCCGGGUGGCCGGCCAUUCACUUUGAAAAAAUUAGAGUGUUCAAAGCGGGCAGGAGCGCCCGGAUAACGUCGCAUGGAAUGAUGGAACAGGACCGCCGUCCCGUUUUCGGCCGGUCUCAGGGGCGGAGGUAAUGAUUGAAAGGGACGGCCGGGGGCAUUCGUACCGCGGCGGGAGAGG